rnacentral:misc_RNA from 1 species
GAAAUGCGAUAAGUAAUGUGAAUUGCGGAAUUCAGUGAAUCAUCGAAUCUUUGAACGCACAUUGCGCCCGCCAGUAUUCUGGCGGGCAUGCCUGUCCGAGCGUCAUUUCAACCAUCAAGCCCCCGGGCUUGUGUUGGGGACCUGCGGCUGCCCGCAGGCCCUGAAAACCAGUGGCGGGCUCGCUGUCACACCGAGCGUAGUAGCAAUCACCUCGCUCAGGGCGUGCUGCGGGUUCCGGCCGUUAAACAGCCUUACAAAACCCAAGGUUGACCUCGGAUCAGGUAGGAAGACCCGCUGAACUUAAGC